GCCAGACUCCUACGGGAGGCAGCAGUGGGGAAUAUUGCACAAUGGGCGCAAGCCUGAUGCAGCCAUGCCGCGCUUAUGAAGAAGUCCUUCGGGUUGUAAAGUACUUUCAGCGGGGAGGAAGGCGAUAAGGUUAAUAACCUUGUCGAUUGACGUUACCCGCAGAAGAAGCGCCGGCUCACUCCGUGCCAGCAGCCGCGGUAAUACGGAGGGUGCAAGCUUUAAUCGGAAUUACUGGGCGUAAAGCGCACGCAGGCGGCCUGUCAAGUCGGAGGUGAAAUCCCGGGGCUCAACCUGGGAACUGCAUUCGAAACUGGCAGGCUGGAGUCUUGUAGAGGGGGGUAGAAUUCCAGGUGUAGCGGUGAAAUGCGUAGAGAUCUGGAGGAAUACCGGUGGCGAAGGCGGCCCCCUGGACAAAGACUGACGCUCAGGUGCGAAAGCGUGGGGAGCGAACAGGAUUAGAUACCCCAGUA
rnacentral:rRNA from 1 species